AUUUGACCAAGUUCAGUUCGUUUGAAAAGGGUAGUUCACGUUUUAUAUGGGCAAAAGUUUCAGUUCAUCCUCACCCAAAAAUAGUGAACUGCUAUGUGUGUAUUACGGCUACCGUCUUAAUUUUUUUUGUUACAUAUGCUGUGAACUUUCAUGUUUGGAGGUAAAAAAGUAAAGGAAUAUGUUGAUGAUUUUUUUAUAAUCACACUUGAAGUUCACCUCCUUUUUUCCUGGGAGUUAGCCUUGUCCAUUUUCUCAGAAAGUUCACAUUUUAAUUGCUUGGAAGUGCAAAUUUUCAAUGCGAAAAUUCAUAUUUAUGUUAUCACCAGGAAGCCCCCCUUUUUUUGGUCGAAACAAUUUGAUUUGACUUGCAAAACAGGUUUGGUUUACUGCGAAUAAAGCUAUAUCGGUUUGUUUACUGAAAAGCCGAAGUCCACUUCAUACGAUGUAGGCUAUUAUGGUAGUACACUCUUUUUUAUAAAAAGUUCACUACAUGUACAUGGAGAAGUUCAUAUCUGAGUAAAUUUUUGUUUCAUUCUAGCAGAUAGUUCAAUUGUGUAACGCCGGAAAGUUCAUUUCGUUUUUAUUUGGAAAGCAAAUUGAAUGAUGGCAGGAAGUUAUUAUAUUUUAUAUAUUGGCAUGCGAGGCUAUUUAUUGUAGUUGUUGUGAACUGCUGAUAGAGGGUGCCCCUUAUUGCGUAAAAAGAAGCUGCUAUGUUCGAGCUUUGCUCUCUCGCAAACUUUAUUUUAAAGAAUUGUAGAGAAGUUCAUUUUAUAUCAACGGGUAAAGUUCGUUUUUGUCUGCACGGAAGUUAUCACAACACACAAAUAUUGAAGUACAUGGUAAUUGCAAUUAAAUAAAAAACCGUGUAGUUCCAAGGUUCAUUAUUUUAAUUGGUAAAAGUUCAGAUUGUCGAUGAGUAGAAGUUCGGUUGUUUUUUAUCAUGUGCUGAAACUCAAAUAUCUUGUGAAUUAACUAUCAUAGCAAUCGUGCUCUGCGUAUCUAGCUUUAUGCGAUUCCAUAUUUACCUGUCAUAUUUUAUUAUAUAUGAUCUACGUUGAUGCUGCAAGAAAAGUUCGCUUGUCAGCAAGAGAAGUUUGAGUUUCUAUUUUCUCUUUUUUCAGCAAGAGAAGUUCGCUUGGAAUAUCCAGAAAAUAUCAUCUAGAGAUUUUCAGUCGUACUUCUAGUUUCCAGAUGUUAGAUGAAUGUCUCAUAUGCUUGCAUCAUUCACUGGUUCAUUAUAGCAUUCCAUUGCAAUACUGAUGUCAGGGGUACGUUCGCCUUCUUUUUUCUGGGAUUUUGCAUUGUCCAUUAUUUUUUGGCAAUUGAAGUUCACUUUUUCUCUGUCUGAAAGUUCAGCUUUUUGGGCAAGUUCAGAUCCUAUGUGUAUAAGUUCAAGAUUUAUUAUCUGUACCAGUAGUAUAAAAUGCGCAUGUUAAAAUUUCAAUUUUUUAGAAUAAAAAGAAGUUCACUAUGUUCCUAUGUAAAAGUUCACUUUCAUUUCUUUUGGGCAGUUCCUAUGUAAAGUUCACUUCUAUUUUUUUUAUCCAGUCAAGUCCAUUCUAAAAAAGCAUCAUGAAAAAUAGUUUGAUUUGACUUGCAAGAAUAGUUUCCUCUUGCAGAAGUUCAUUUCUUAUUGCUGGACAGUUCAUAUAAUUGUGAAGUUCAAUUAAUUUGAAAAAAAUGUAUGAGCAAAAUGAGUUAAGCAUUACUUAGUUGUCCAAAAAAAAAUCUGGAGUAACUAUCUGUGUUCGAGAAGUUCACUUUUCCUUGACAGGAAAAAACUUACUUUAAAAAAUGGGAUGAUCGAAAAUAAUUGAACAUUACUUAGUUAUCCAUAAGAAUCCUGAAAGUUAACCUUUCUUUCUCUGAGAAGUUCACCUUUUCUACUAGCAUGAUACAGUGAUGGAGAUGGCCUUGUCUAUUAGCCUUUUUCAUUAGCGAGUUAGUUUUACCAGUUUUUCAGACAUAAAAGUAGUGCAAUUUAGACAUGGGAGCAAGCCAGUUCAAUGUGCAGCCACGCCUCUCCAGGUUUGUGCUGGCCAUGAUUCUUCUUUUUACAUGUUUUUUUUUCAUUUUCUAGCGAUGAACUACCCAGCCACUUAUCUGAUUGUCUUCCUUGACGCUUCAGAACAUCUCCAUAGCCCUGAUCCACUUCUAGGAUGUAUACUAUGUGUAAAGAGAGUUCAGUUGGUAAUACGGGGAAGUUCACUUUUGGUAUUUUGGUCAACUGAACUACUACAGAUCUUUGAAUUUUGGUAUUCAGUAAGACUAUGUGAACGAGAUUGAUUAAAAGUAUUUAGCUUCAGAAAUUGGACACACAACUUGUGUCACACACUAUUGUAUUUGAUGAAGCGGCAGUUCAAAAAGUCAUGUUGUGCAGUUCACUAAGCGAUGAACACUAAAAUUCAGGAACAUUUCAAACAUAUUUGUAUAUUCAUAGUAUAAUUAGUUUGUAUCUGCAUUGCAGAACUAGAGGGACUCAGGCCCAUAGGAGAUUCACUGUCUUAUUGCUUUAGUUUACAUCAACAUUGCUUUUUUUAUGUUCUGUCUGUAAACCAAGCAACUUACUUUUCUUCUUUGGCUAAACGUGUAGUUAACAAAUCUAAACUCUGUUUUCCUUGUUAGGAUGUUCAGUUUGUACAUGCGUGGAGUCCACUUUUGUCCAAAAAAGGUUGUUUGUGAUGCUACAUGUGAUGUAUUAAAACUGGACAGAGAUGAUAGCCUCCCAAUGCCACACCUACCUUGUCAGCUCGCCUCAAUAAAUGAAGCUUGGCGGUGUGCACGACAGUGCUGAUGUGAACCGGGAUGGGCUCUUCCGCAUGCGACGACAUCUCUGCAUCGACCCUCUCUCUCAUAUAUCUGAACUUCAUUUUUAUGUAGAGAAUCUCUAGACUUCAGUUCAUUACAGGACGCAGUGUGUUACACUAGCAGUACAUAAAAGUUUCUCCAUGUAUCGAAAAACAGAAGUUCAUUUAUAUGGAGUAGAGUUGAUGCGGUUGAUAUGAGAAACAAAGUUUACUUCGCUUAAAGCAUAUGUUCACCAUUUAUUUUUGGAGAGUUCAUUUUG